rnacentral:rRNA from 1 species
AGAGUUUGAUCCUGGCUCAGAACGAACGCUGGCGGCAGGCUUAACACAUGCAAGUCGAGCGCCCCGCAAGGGGAGCGGCAGACGGGUGAGUAACGCGUGGGAAUCUACCUUUUGCUACGGAAUAACUCAGGGAAACUUGUGCUAAUACCGUAUGUGCCCUUUUGGGGAAAGAUUUAUCGGCAAAGGAUGAGCCCGCGUUGGAUUAGGUAGUUGGUGGGGUAAUGGCCUACCAAGCCGACGAUCCAUAGCUGGUCUGAGAGGAUGAUCAGCCACAUUGGGACUGAGACACGGCCCAAACUCCUACGGGAGGCAGCAGUGGGGAAUAUUGGACAAUGGGCGCAAGCCUAAUCCAGCCAUGCCGCGUGAGUGAUGAAGGCCCUAGGGUUGUAAAGCUCUUUCACCGGUGAAGAUAAUGACGGUAACCGGAGAAGAAGCCCCGGCUAACUUCGUGCCAGCAGCCGCGGUAAUACGAAGGGGGCUAGCGUUGUUCGGAAUUACUGGGCGUAAAAGCGCACGUAGGCGGAUACUUAAGUUAGGGGUGAAAUCCCAGGGCUCAACCCUGGAACUGCCUUUAAUACUGGGUAUCUUGAGUUCGAGAGAGGUGAGUGGAAUUCCGAGUGUAGAGGUGAAAUUCGUAGAUAUUCGGAGGAACACCAGUGGCGAAGGCGGCUCACUGGCUCGAUACUGACGCUGAGGUGCGAAAGCGUGGGGAGCAAACAGGAUUAGAUACCCUAGUAGUCC